rnacentral:rRNA from 1 species
GACGUAGGGUGCGAGCGUUGUCCGGAUUUAUUGGGCGUAAAGAGCGUGUAGGCGGCCAGACAGGUCCGUUGUGAAAACUCGAGGCUCAACCUCGAGAUGUCGAUGGAAACCGUCUGGCUAGAGUCCGGAAGAGGAGUGUGGAAUUCCUGGUGUAGCGGUGAAAUGCGCAGAUAUCAGGAAGAACACCUAUGGCGAAGGCAGCACUCUGGGACGGUACUGACGCUGAGACGCGAAAGCGUGGGGAGCGAACAGG